rnacentral:rRNA from 1 species
UAAAUAAGCCAUACCUGCGUGUGAGUGCCCAAUUUCAUCAGAUCUUGGCAGUUAAGCAAGGCUGGGACUGGUUAGUACUUGGAUGGGAGACCACAGUGGGACACCAGUGGCAA